UAAAGAAAAAAUGAGGAAAUGCUGUGAAGAACUAAUAGAACGUUUCAGAAGCAGAACAAGUCGAGAGCAGUGAUGACCCUUUUGUUCCUGCUAGUACCUCCUGUCUGUCUGGCCGAACUCACCAUCAGAUGAUGUCUUGAACCUCACCUAGAUGGGCUGGUGGUGUGUGGCCAGGUUAAGAGCACCAACAGGAGUAAGAAAGUGACCUGCCUGGUUUUACCGUGUGUACUAGGGGAGGGGUUGAAAGCUUUCGGUUGAUACAUCACCUCUGGGAGUUGAAGAAGAAUGCAAUUAAGAGAGCUAAAGAAGUCAGUAUAGAAUCUGAAACUCAGAGGUCAACUGAUGUGUCAAAGAUACCUCCACAAAUCAGUACCUUGAUUAAAACUAAAAUUGGAGUCAUCUUCAUAUCUCCAUCUUUCUCCCUCUUCAUUAGGACCGAUUGUAGUCUGUUUCCCUCUCACUCACUUGCAAUCUUUAUUGCUUUAGUGUUGCAUUUGAUUUUUAUCUUUGUUUUUGUUUUAAAUACUGUCAUUAAAGUCAUAGAAAAAUCUAAAAUAAAACUGGUUGAAUAAAAAUUUUAAAAUCGACUCUAAUGUAAUAAACCAGACAAAAAUGAUACUUUAAAUGUUAUAUCUUCCCUUUAAACUACAAAUAUUCAUUGAGUGUAUACCCUGUAUUAGGCUGUUGGAAUAAAACAGGGAAGAAGACAGAAGAAACUGCACCGCCAUCUUAGAUCUUGCAGCCAAAUUCCUCUGAACUUUUCUCUAAAGACGUGCUCUGGAAAAAUGUUGAUCAUUUUCCUACAUCAUGGAGGUCUUUUCAUGACCACCUUUGUCUAGACAAUGUCCUGUUUUUAGGUGCACGUUUGAGGGCUGGAGUCUCUGACCCACAGUGCUGCAGCCUGCACGUGGUUUGUCCUGACUUCUUUGCUACUUCACUUUUCGUAAGGCUCUGAGAGUGCAGGCCCUUGUGGGUGGACACUGCAGGGUGAGAGGAAGAAGUAAACUACUUUUUUCCGUUUCUGAUGGGGGUGUGGGUCAGCAGCUAUAAGCAACAGGGACCAUGGGGGGCCUCAGACUUCAGCACCUGAGAGGCAGUUUCAGUCGUAUUGGGGAGAUGCAGGCAUCUGGGUUGCUGCACAUCACCAGGGCAGGGUUCUCUCAGCAGCCCUGGAGUGCAGAGUUCCCAUCAGCUCAGCAGUGAGGGGCACAUGGGGCUCCAGUGGUGAGGACUCUUGGUCCUUGGAUGACAACACUCCCCUGCCCACUUCUCCAGCCUUCCCUGUAACCCUUUGCCACCUCUAACCAAUCUUCUGUGUUACAUCUCUUCGGUUUGCAAUAUGUAGUGUUCGUAUAUGACUGGACAGUAUCUACUGGAGUUAAUAUCUAUCAGAGUAAUUAUAUCACAAUUGCAAUCUUCUCCUAAGAGUGAAUAGUGACAUUAAAAAUUUCAACAUUAUAAAUUAUGCAGAAAUAAAACUAAUUAUACAAAAAAUACACUCUGAAUGUCAGUUUUUCCCUGAGACAAUCUACCAUUUGAUAUACGGUGAUUCACACUUCUUAAUAUACAACAUUGAAUUACUUUUCCAAAAGCCUCUUCAAAUUUUGCUGCAGAAUUAAACUUCACUUGCACCAGCUCUGAAUUAUGUGUGCUUUUCCUUCUUGGUCAAUUUCAUAGGUGUAUCAUUAUUUGUCUUUUUUAAUUAAUAUGUUUAUAUAACUUUUCAUGUUUAUCCAUGUAACUACUGCUUUUGUGAAACGUGUGUUUUUAUCCUUUUCACAUUUUUUUCUAUUGAAAUGUUUUCUUUAUAAAUAUAAAUGUGUUUUUGGUAUGAAAAUAAUAACUGGCCAGAUGCGGUGGCUCACACCUGUAAUCCCAGCACUUUGAGAGGCCGAGGUGGGUGGAUCACCUGGCCUCAGGAGUUCGGGACCAGCCUGGCCAGCAUAGUGAAACCCCAUCUCUACUAAAACUACAAAAUUAGCUGGCGUGGUAGCACGUGCCCUGUAAUCCAAGCUACUUGGGAGGCUGAGACAGGAGACUCAGUCGAACCUAGGAGGCAGAAGUUGCAGCAAGCCAAGAUCACGCUAUUGCACUCCAGCCUGGGCAAAAAGAGCGAAACUCUGUCUCAAAAAGAAGAAAAAAAAUAGUAACUCUUUGUGAAUAGUAUCAACUAAAAUAUUUAUAUUUCAGUUUUCAUUCUGAUAUUUUGUUUCAUCAGAAUUUUUUAAAGUAUUUUGUUUAAUAUAUUAACUUUAAUAAUUUCAUUAACUGUCUCGUGCUUACAAAGUCUUUAUGCAUUUGGGGAUUAUGUAAAGCAUCUACCUUUACACUUUUAAUGAGUUUCAGAGGUUUUUUGGUACCUUUGAGUUAUAAUACAAAAAUAAUUUAUUUGGGUGUGAUAUGCAGUGAAUUGCUAACAUUAU
ensembl:lncRNA novel transcript